rnacentral:rRNA from 1 species
GGUUGCGAUCAUACCAGCACUAAUGCACCGGAUCCUAUCAGAACUCCGCAGUUAAGCGUGCUUGGGCUAGAGUAGUACUAGGAUGGGUGACCCCCUGGGAAGUCCUCGUGUUGCAACCCC